GGCAGUCGGCAUUUCAAUUGCAGAUUAACAAAGGACAUGAUGUUCAUAACGAUAACAGCUUUGCUUCUCGUUUCCAUUGCUAUGGAUUCUAUUCCAUCAGCGCAAGCAGGAAGAUUUCCAGUAGUUGCUCCCAUGGAACGUUCCCUAAGAACACAAUCGAUCAGCAGACGUAACGUCCCUAUUCCUAUUACUCGGGUCAACAUUCCUACUCCUAGAGAAAGACGGCAGAUAUACAAGUUGUCAUCGCGUCAGGCGUGGAAACCAAAAUCAGGACAAGAAUAAAGUUUAUUGAACUAUUUGUAAAAAUACAGACAACAUAAUAACUUUGAAUAAAGAAAUGAAAAGCAG